UACGGAGGGAGCUAGCGUUGUUCGGAAUUACUGGGCGUAAAGCGCACGUAGGCGGCUUUUUAAGUCAGGGGUGAAAUCCCCGGGCUCAACCUGGGAAAUAGCGCUUGAGACUGAAGGACUUGAGUUCGGGAGAGGAGAGCGGAAUUCCACAUGUAGCGGUGAAAUGCGUAGAUAUGUGGCAGAACAUCGGUGGCGAAGGCGGUUUUCUAGCUUAUUCCUGACGCUGAGGCGCGAAAGUAAGGGGAU
rnacentral:rRNA from 1 species